GCUUCUUUGCUGACGAGUGGCGGACGGGUGAGUAAUGCUUGGGAAUCUGGCUUAUGGAGGGGGAUAACAACGGGAAACUGUUGCUAAUACCGCGUAAAAUCGAGAGAUUAAAGUGUGGGACCGCAAGGCCACAUGCCAUGAGAUGAGCCCAAGUGGGAUUAGGUAGUUGGUGGGGUAAAGGCCUACCAAGCCGUCGAUCUCUAGCUGGUCUGAGAGGAUGGCCAGCCACACUGGAACUGAGACACGGUCCAGACUCCUACGGGAGGCAGCAGUGGGGAAUAUUGCGCAAUGGGGGCAACCCUGACGCAGCCAUGCCGCGUGAAUGAAGAAGGCCUUCGGGUUGUAAAGUUCUUUCGGUGAUGAGGAAGGCAUGAUGUUUAAUAGACAUCGUGAUUGACGUUAAUUACAGAAGAAGCACCGGCUAACUCCGUGCCAGCAGCCGCGGUAAUACGGAGGGUGCGAGCGUUAAUCGGAAUAACUGGGCGUAAAGGGCACGCAGGCGGAUUUUUAAGUGAGAUGUGAAAGCCCCGGGCUUAACCUGGGAACUGCAUUUCAGACUGGGGAUCUAGAGUACUUUAGGGAGGGGUAGAAUUCCACGUGUAGCGGUGAAAUGCGUAGAGAUGUGGAGGAAUACCGAAGGCGAAGGCAGCCCCUUGGGAAUGUACUGACGCUCAUGUGCGAAAGCGUGGGGAGCAAACAGGAUUAGAUACCCUGGUAGUCCACGCUGUAAACGCUGUCGAUUUGGGGAUUGGGCUUUAAGCUUGGUGCCCGUAGCUAACGUGAUAAAUCGACCGCCUGGGGAGUACGGCCGCAAGGUUAAAACUCAAAUGAAUUGACGGGGGCCCGCACAA
rnacentral:rRNA from 1 species